ACAAAAGGGACUUCAGGAUGAGAUAAGAGAAUGGAUUUUUUUCCCCCCUACUGGCAGUAACCAAAAUCAGGAGAAAAAGUCUACGGAAAAACCACCAUGAGAGAGGGGCCCAGGGAGAGAUGAAGAGUGAGAGAGAGAUGGGAAAACGAAGGCUUCAAAGAUGACACUCCCUAAGUGAAGAGCCAAGAUGUGGCCCCGAUUGCGUGGCUCCGAAGCCUACACUGGGGGACUUCCUUGGGGGUCCACUUCAGGGGCCACAGGUUCCAGCCCUGGUCAGGGAACUAAGAUCCCACAAGCCACACGUGUAGCUGGAAACAAAUAAAAAGCCUGCACUGACA